CGAACGCUGGCGGCGUGCUUAACACAUGCAAGUCGAACGGAAAGGCCCCUUUGGGGGUACUCGAGUGGCGAACGGGUGAGUAACACGUGAGUAACCUGCCCUUGACUUCGGGAUAACUUCAGGAAACUGGGGCUAAUACCGGAUAGGAAUCCUUGCUGCAUGGUGGGGGUUGGAAAGCUUCGGCGGUUUUGGAUGGACUCGCGGCUUAUCAGCUUGUUGGUGGGGUAGUGGCUUACCAAGGCUUUGGCGGGUAGCCGGCCUGAGAGGGCGACCGGCCACAUUGGGACUGAGAUACGGCCCAGACUCCGACGGGAGGCAGCAGUGGGGAAUAUUGCACAAUGGGCGGAAGCCUGAUGCAGCAACGCCGCGUGCGGGAUGACGGCCUUCGGGUUGUAAACCGCUUUCAGCAGGGGCGAAGCUUGUGGUGACGGUACCUGCAGAAGAAGCACCGGCUAACUACGUG
rnacentral:rRNA from 1 species